rnacentral:rRNA from 1 species
CCUACGGGGGGCUGCAGUGGGGAAUAUUGGACAAUGGGGGCAACCCUGAUCCAGCCAUGCCGCGUGUGUGCAGAAGGCCCUCGGGUUGUAAAGCACUUUCAGUGAGGAAGAACGCCUGGUGGUUAAUACCCAUCAGGAAAGACAUCACUCACAGAAGAAGCACCGGCUAACUCCGUGCCAGCAGCCGCGGUAAUACGGAGGGUGCGAGCGUUAAUCGGAAUUACUGGGCGUAAAGCGCGCGUAGGUGGCUUGAUAAGCCGGUUGUGAAAGCCCCGGGCUCAACCUGGGAACGGCAUCCGGAACUGUCAAGCUAGAGUGCAGGAGAGGAAGGUAGAAUUCCCGGUGUAGCGGUGAAAUGCGUAGAGAUCGGGAGGAAUACCAGUGGCGAAGGCGGCCUUCUGGACUGACACUGACACUGAGGUGCGAAAGCGUGGGUAGCAAACAGGAUUAGAUACCCUGGUAGUC